GAUGAACGCUGGCGGCGUGCUUAAUACAUGCAAGUCGAACGAUGAAGCCCAGCUUGCUGGGUGGAUUAGUGGCGAACGGGUGAGUAACACGUGAGUAACCUGCCCUUAACUCUGGGAUAAGCCUGGGAAACUGGGUCUAAUACCGGAUAGGAGCGCCUACCGCAUGGUGGGUGUUGGAAAGAUUUAUCGGUUUUGGAUGGACUCGCGGCCUAUCAGCUUGUUGGUGAGGUAAUGGCUCACCAAGGCGACGACGGGUAGCCGGCCUGAGAGGGUGACCGGCCACACUGGGACUGAGACACGGCCCAGACUCCUACGGGAGGCAGCAGUGGGGAAUAUUGCACAAUGGGCGAAAGCCUGAUGCAGCGACGCCGCGUGAGGGAUGACGGCCUUCGGGUUGUAAACCUCUUUCAGUAGGGAAGAAGCGAAAGUGACGGUACCUGCAGAAGAAGCACCGGCUAACUACGUG
rnacentral:rRNA from 1 species